CAGUCGUACCGGUGGGCAAUCAGCCUUUCGGCGUGAUUAUGUGGAGCGUGAGGAGUAAACGCCCUCAUGCCUGCAUAUUCGUGUUCUUUGGGUGUACUUAUCCGCAUGNUAGGNUAACAUCNAUUUCGAACGUUAUAAAAUGGUUGGAGGAAUGUGGCUUCGAUCUCGUAUUGAAGUGUUAUAGCCUCCGGCAGAUGUGAUGAUCGGGAUUGAGGAUUGCAACGGAUACCCUUUGGGCUACCCGUCUGAUCUCUGAAAGUUGCUCUGGUGCCGAAAGCUCGCUUACGGUCAUCAAAGUUGACGUUCAACAGGUUAGAACGGGAUAAAUUCGUUAAGGAUGUUGACGUA
rnacentral:rRNA from 1 species